GCUUACGACCACACCGGCCUGAGUACGCCUGAUCUCGUCUGAUCUCGAAGCUAAGCAGGUCGGGCCUGGUUAGUACUUGGAUGGGAGACCGCCUGGGAAUACCAGGUGCUGUAAGCU
rnacentral:rRNA from 1 species